rnacentral:rRNA from 1 species
UACGAAGGGGGCUAGCGUUGUUCGGAAUCACUGGGCAUAAAGGGCGCGUAGGCGGCCUGAUAAGUCGGGGGUGAAAGCCUGUGGCUCAACCACAGAAUUGCCUUCGAUACUGUUAGGCUUGAGACCGGAAGAGGUAAGUGGAGCUGCGAGUGUAGAGGUGAAAUUCGUAGAUAUUCGCAAGAACACCAGUGGCGAAGGCGGCUUACUGGUCCGGUUCUGACGCUGAGGCGCGAAAGCGUGGGGAGCAAACAGG